GAUGAACGCUAGCGGCAGGCUUAACACAUGCAAGUCGAGGGGCAGCAUGAUGAAACUUUCGGGUUUCAUUGAUGGCGACCGGCGCAAGGGUGCGUAACGCGUGAGCAACUUGCCCUUAUCAGGGGAAUAACCGGUGGAAACGCCGACUAAUACCCCAUAGCAUCACUUUAAGGCAUCUUUUAGUGAUUAAAGAAUUUCGGAUAAGGAUAGGCUCGCGUGACAUUAGCUAGAUGGCGGGGUAACGGCCCACCAUGGCGACGAUGUCUAGGGGUUCUGAGAGGAAGGUCCCCCACACUGGAACUGAGACACGGUCCAGACUCCUACGGGAGGCAGCAGUGAGGAAUAUUGGUCAAUGGCCGAGAGGCUGAACCAGCCAUGCCGCGUGAAGGUCACGGCCCUAUGGGUCUUAAACUUCUUUUGUAAGGGAGCAAUAAGGUCUACGUGUAGACUGAUGAGAGUACCUUACGAAUAAGCAUCGGCUAACUCCGUGCCAG
rnacentral:rRNA from 1 species